rnacentral:rRNA from 1 species
AUUGAACGCUGGCGGCAUGCCUUACACAUGCAAGUCGAACGGCAGCGGACCUUCGGGUGCCGGCGAGUGGCGAACGGGUGAGUAAUAUAUCGGAACGUACCUUUCAGUGGGGGAGUAACGUAGCGAAAGUUACGCUAAUACCGCAUAUUCUGUGAGCAGGAAAGCAGGGGAUCGCAAGACCUUGCGCUGAUUGAGCGGCCGAUAUCAGAUUAGCUAGUUGGUGAGGUAAAGGCUCACCAAGGCGACGAUCUGUAGCGGGUCUGAGAGGAUGAUCCGCCACACUGGAACUGAGACACGGUCCAGACUCCUACGGGAGGCAGCAGUGGGGG